CUCGAUCGAUCAAUGGCGGCUCGACCCUUUCUGCCUUCUCUCUUUCUCUCUCUCUCUCUCUCACUCAAUUAUCAUAAUUAAUGGCAUGGUGCCAAAACAGAACCUGUUAAAAAAUAUUAUAUUAUAUUAUAUGUAUAUUUCGCCUUGUUUCUUCUCUUUUAUUUUCUUCUCUGGGUAGAGGGUGUAUAAUAUAUGGAUGGAUGG
rnacentral:lncRNA from 1 species